UUUCCUCACUUUCCCUCUCUUUUCUCAUCUCCUUCGUUCUCUGUCUCUUCCUCCUCAUUCUUUUUCUUUUCCUUUUUCCUUUUUAUCAAACCAUAAAACCAAAUCAAAGAGCAUGAAUGAAAUUGAAAAUGGAUUUAACUAGGAGGUGUUUUCGGGUGAAAACGAAUGGCUGUAUCGAAGCGUAAUUUCGGUGGGGGAGACGUGAUUCCGGCAAGGAGACUCAUGGUCUGCAGUGAUGUGUGGUGUUUAGACUCGUGGUGUUAGAGGAUGGUGGAAGAAAUAAUAUUGUUUACUAUGAAUCUGAUUAUGUCCCCUCAUAUCCACUUUUUCGUGCUAGGGUUUCACCUUUGACUUUAAGAGGUUCUCAGCAGUGCAGGGCAUUAAGUGUACCCGAAAUCACACAACAAAUGUGGGAUUCCAAGAAGGGUGAUUUUGAGAAAGAUUGCAAAGAUGGAUGUCUUGAUGACAAAAUUGUUGUAUUGUUUAUGAUGAAGGCGACAAGUUCAGUCGAGGAUGAUGAUGAGGAACCAGACAAGUCCAAAUCUAAAGUUUAAAUCUUAAGAGAGUAUGGUACUACUACUGAUAAUCAGUUAGCCAUGUCAACAUUGUACGAAUCACGAUUCUCCGAUUCAAUUGCUUUGAUUCUUAUAUGAUAUGUUUCUGUAAUUGGAGAUUACUUUCAGAAUUGAUUACACAGGCCAUCAAUAAACCAGAGUUUGGAACAAUUUUUCUCAAUGAUAAAAAUGUUGCAAUGCUUGUUGUUUCUCAAGGAUGAACAAAUGUUGAAUACUGUGUGACUUAUGUCAAGAUGUGCAUGUGUUGCGUUUGGAUUACUUUUUCCAUGUCUGAAUUGGAUUGACGAGUUGUGGGAUUUUUCCUGAAGGUUAGACAAUAGGGAGAACAUAAAGGAGAAGUGAGUUUAUUCCUAGCAGAGUUGUUACGACUAUUUUAGUGUCCACCAAUCACACCAACCUCUAUCACUUUAAUUAGCUUUUACAUGUUUUUGUAUCAUUCAAAAUUGUUUUGCAUGCUUUUAAUUACUUCUCAACCAUCACCUUUUUUUCUCGUACUAAGUUUACAGUUCUCCAUUUAUUGAUUAAUAUCUCAGUGGUAAUUUGAUAAUCAAGUUUAAGA